GAUGAAGGAAACGUGUCGGAUCUGCGCCCGGGAGCUGUGCGGCAACCAGCGGCGAUGGAUCUUCCACACGGCGGCCAAGCUGAACCUCCAGGUGCUGCUCUCCCAUGUCCUGGGCCGGGAGCUGUGCCGGGACGGCAAAUCCGAGUUCGCUUGCAGCAAGUGUGCCUUCAUGCUGGACCGCAUCUACAGGUUUGACACCGUCAUCGCGCGCAUUGAAGCCCUCUCCAUUGAGCGUCUGCAGAAGCUGCUGCUGGAGAAAGACCGCCUCAAGUUCUGCAUUGCAAGCAUGUACCGCAGGAACAAUGAAGACUCCAGCAUAGAUGACAGAGCUGGGGAUGGGACUGUGGACCUUUCUAACCUGCCUGAUGUACGGUACGCUGCCCUCCUUCAGGAGGACUUCGCUUAUUCUGGAUAUGAAUAUUGGACGGAUCAAGAAGACCACAGUUUGGAGCCACACAGCUGCCAUGCUUCAGAGGGAGCGACUAACCGGCCACGGCGUUGCCGUGGCUGUGCUGCCCUGCGAGUGGCCGAUGCUGACUAUGAAGCCAUUUGCAAAGUGCCGCGCAAGGUGGCAAGAAGCAUCUCCUGCGGGCUGUCCAGCCGGUGGUCGGCCAGCAUGGGCAAUGAAGAGUCAUUCGUGUGUGAUGCAGUGGAGUCUGCCAGCACCAGAGGGCCUGUGGAUGGCGAAAGUAUGGAGGAAGGCACGCCUGAGUCUUCUGUUGAGUCCCUGGAAACGACUGUGGAGGCGAGCACUCUGCAGCAGAAGGACGAAGAUGCAGAUAAGGGUGUGAAAGGGAAUGGGAAAUGUGACAAUUCCUCAGAUGAUCGUACAACCCCAAACUCUUCACUGAGUGGGAACAGGCUGGAGCUGGCCCUCAGCCUGAUCAAGGCUUUGGACUACAAACCCCUUCAGAGCCCUCGAGGCAGCAGGCUACCUAUUCCUGUCAAGUCCAGCUUGCCCCCUCCCAAGCCCAGCCGUGACUUGGCAGAUGGCAGCACUCCUGCUGGCUUAGUGUGUGCCAGUUCUGCCUUCCUCAACGCAGACAGAAGAUCCUUUUCCAGAGCUCCUUUGGGUCUUUCCCUGGAGAUUUCUGAUCUGCAGGAGCUGUGGGAUGACUUCUGUGAGGAUUAUGUGCCGCUGCGGGUACAGAAUCGGCAGGAUGAACAUCAGCAGCCACCAGCUCCAUGUGACCCUGCAGCAGGGGAACACGUGUCUGAUCUCCGUGCUGCAGAGCUGCAGGGCAAAAUCCAUCAAUUUGAGGCUGACAACAAGUUGUUACAGGAAAAGCUGAAUGAACUGAAGCUUGAAUUAAAAUCUGUCCAAGAAACAUCACAGAGGCAAGAUCGUACAAUCCAGAGUCUGAAUGAGGCCCUGAAGAGCAAAGAGAGUAAGGCAGAAGAGCUGCACCAUAUCAUCGAAGGGCAGAAUGAGACGAUGGCCAAGCUGCGGGACAUGUUACACAGAAGCCAUGUGGGACAGUUGCAGAUGUCAGAGAGCCCACUGUCAUCCCAGGAGCAGCAAAUGUCACUGUUAGAUCUUCAGAACACGCUUUUCUGCACCAAGCUGGAGGUGCAAAAACUGAAAGGAGCCCAGUGCCAGAAAGAGCACCAACUAGCUGAAGCUAGGAGAGCAACCCAGCUUCUAGAGAUCAUGGUGCAUGAGGAAGAGCAGCAGAAAGAGGCAACCUGGAAACACAAUCAGGAACUGCGCGCUGUGGUACAGCAACUGCAGACAGAGCUGCAGGACAAGGCUCAGCAGCUCCAGGUGGUGGAGCAGGAGAAGUGCCGUGAGCUGCAGGCUCAGGAGCAGAGAGUUCAGCAUUUGAGUCAGCAUCUGGCUCACAAGGAACAGCUUCUGCAGGAAUCACGGGAACUACUGCAAUGCCAGCAAAGCUUGGACAAGAGCCCUGCAGCCAUGAAAGCCAUGUUGGAGAAACUGCAGCAGCGAAUCAGCGACAGGGAUGCUGCUCUGGAGCGAGCAGUAGAUGAGAAGUUCUGUGCCCUGGAGAAGAAGGAGCAAGAGCUGCAACAGCUCCACCUUUCAAUAAGGGAGCGUGGAGGGGACCUGGAGAGGCUGCGCAGUGUCCUAUCCAGCAAUGAGACCAUGAUUCAUAGCCUGGAGAGCCUCCUGAAAGCUAAAACACUGGAACUAGAGCAGGUGUUGGCAUCCUGCCAAAACCUCUGCUGGCUCAAGGAAGAGAUCGAGGCCAAAUCCUGCAGCAGGCAGAAGGAGCAGGAGGGAAUCAUCCAGCAGCUGCAGACCUGCUUGCAUGACAGGAAUAAAGAAGUGGAGGAGCUUACAGCAACUCUGCUGUGCAAGCUGGGCCCAGGGCAGAGUGAAAUAGCAGAGGAGCUGUGCUUGCGCCUCCAACACAAGGAGAAGAUGCUGCAGGAUCUCCUCAGUGACAGGAACCGUCAGACCGUGGAGCAUGAUGCUGAAAUCCGUGAGCUGCUGCAGGCCAUGAGUGCCAGGGAGCAGCAGAGCCAAGUGGCUGCUGAGAAGAUGGCGCACGCUUUGGCUGAAAGGAGCUGUGAGUUACAACUUCUGCGCCAGCAUGUGUUGAGAAAGGAGCCUGUUGGGACCCAGUCAGCUGGUGCCAGGCUGUUGAAGCAGGACAAACAGCUUAUGCAAGAAAGAACUUGUGGAGCUACAGCCGCUGCUGGACCCACCCAGGGAGACAGCAGCUGCAAGACAGAGGGAGUUUCGAUGUCAGCGGCAGAACUGGAGAAGGAUCUUGUUAAUGCCAAAGACGAGCUGGAGCUACUGGCAAAGAAGGAAAGGGAAAGCAGGCGAGAGCUCACUGCUCUCAAGUCUCUUGUGGCCACACAAGAAGAAGAGCUUCAGGUGCAGGCCUCGGAUAUCGAGUCCUUGACUAGGACCAUCCAGAUGAAAGAGGACCUCAUCAAGGAUCUGCAGAUGCAGCUGGUGGAUCCUGAAGAAAUUCCAGCCAUAGAAAGGCUGACACAAGAAGUGCUAGUGCUUCGGGAGAAAGUGGCCAUAGCAGAGUCAAGAGGACAAGAGGCUACUGGAAACAGAAGGCAGCAGUUGUUACUGAUGCUUGAAGGCCUGGUGGCUGAAAGGAAUCGGUUAAAUGAGGCUCUCCAGGCAGAGAGGCAGCUCUAUGGCAGCCUGGUAAAGUUUCACACACACACAGAUAGUGCUGCAAGAGACCACGCUCUACAGGUGGAGCUGGAGGGGGUCCAGGAGCUCCGGGGACAGCUGGAAGAAGCUCUUGGAAGAAGCUUGGAGUGUUUGAGCAGGCUGGAGACUCAGGGCGCCAUAGGAGGUCAGUCUACAGGGACAAAUGCUGAUGGUGUCAGCAGUAAUCUCACCCAGAGCACUGAAGAGGAGGCAGCUCACAGCGCAGCACCCCUGCACAGCAGCCACCAAGCCCCUAAGGAAAUUGGAGGCACUGAGAGGGCCUCAGUGGGGAGCAUGGCACCCACUAUGGCAGAGCAGGAGCUGCAGGCAGAAGAGGAGCUGCGGGAGUUGAAGGUGCAGCUGGAGGAAGCUGGCUUCUCCUCAGUCUCUCACAUCAGGAAGGCGAUGCUGAGCCUGUGCCUGGAGAAUGCGGAGCUGAAGGAGCGGAUGGGUGAAGCCACGUCGCUGCUGGAGAGUGGGGAGCAAGAGGAGGUUUCGCUGGGCAGCUGCUCCCUGGCCCCCAAGCCCCGCAGGCUGCAGCGGAAGAACCGCAGUGCCCUUGGGGACUGCCCAGUUGGUGGCAGCGGGGAUGGCCAGCGGCUCCCAGCAGAGAGGGAAGCUGUGCCUGCCAAACGCCCAGCGAUUGAGGCGGGAUCCCAGGGUGAUGUGCCAAAGAGACUCUGCCCUGGUACUCCAGGUGGAGGGCAUGAAAGCCACGCGGAGGGCACAGCCAGCAGUGGGGGCUGGCUGAGGCUGGGUGCAGAGCUGCGCUCCCAGGUGGUGCAGGGCCAAAGGCAGUGCCAGGAGCUGCAGGACAAGCUUGCUGCCUCAGAGGCCACAGUGCAGGCACAAGCUGAGCAGCUGGAGAAGUAUCUGCGCUGUGAACCCCAUGCCCAGCAGCUCAGCAAGCAAGUGCAAGUGGACUUCCAGGACCUAGGCUAUGAGACGUGUGGGCGAAGCGAGACCGAGGCUGACCGGGAUGAGACCACCAGCCCUGAGUGUGAGGAGCCAGAUGUAUUCAGCGAGCCCAGCCUGGGAGAGGAGCUGGGGUGCCCAUACUGGCCAGGGAUGCCUGGGGAGGGCAAAGCUGCCAAGAAAGCUGUGGCACCAGGGGAUGUGGGGGCCCUACACCAGCAUAUCCAGGACCUCAAGGCACAGCUACUCAAUGCCAACAAGGUGAUCCAGAGCCUGCAGCGCCGUGCCCGCUCCAUUUCUGUCACCAGUGGCUACACCUCAGGUGCUGAGAGGCCCCUACCGGGUCCCACAGCCCUGGCCUCCCCGGGCCACAGCCUCACUGAUGAGGACGAGGGCUGGCAGUCCGAUGGCCACAGCACCCUCUGCCCACCCACCCUGCGGGCACACAGCGACCUGCAGCAACUGGUUCACCGCGUCACCCUCCUCGAGGCGCAGCUGCCCGCAACCAAACCUGGAGGUGUUUUGCCCAAGGAGCUGCAAUCUGCCACCUGGCCAGGGAAAUACAACUCGCUGAUCCAAGCACAGGCUCGGGAGCUCUCCCACCUGCGGCAGACACUGCGGGAGGGCCGUGGUGUGAGCCACAGCCUGACUCAGCACCUGCGUGAUGCCCUGCGGUCUUUUGAGGAUCUCCUCCGUGGCACUGACAUCGACUACUACCUGGGCCAGGGCUUCCGGGAGCAGCUGGCCCAGGGCAGGCAGCUGGCUGAGAGGCUCAAUGACAAGCUGGGCACCAGAGAUCGACAAGAUGGGAAGGAUAAAACCAGCCAUGAACUCCUGGCAAUGAGGCUCAGCCAGGAGCUCCAGGAGAAGGAGAGGAUGAUUGAAAGCUUGGAGGCAAAGCUGCAGGAUCGUUGUGAGUCCCCAGGCAGCAGCUGGCCACCCUCUGAGUCGUCCCACUCUGCCACCAGCACCUCCUUCGUGUCCGAGAGGCUGGAGCCCUGCUCCGAUGGGGACAUGGACAGCGAAUGCAGCCAGUGCCAUGAGGAGCCUGCCCGACUCACAGGCCUUCACUUUGACUCUUUGUCCAAACCUGUCAGUGCCCCCCUGCCUGCGCUGGCCCCUGGGCUGCCCCCCUUCCUGCCUGAUGGGCUCCCCCUCACUGUGGCCCCCCUCCUGGGCUGUUGCGGGACCCCCAUCUGCUCCCUGGCUGAGGCACAGCAGGAACUGCAGGUGCUCCGGAGGCAGCUGGGAGAAAGUGAGAGCGUGCCUCCAGCAUGGGGUGGGACGCUGCCCAUGGCACCAACAAAGCCCACAACCCCACUGGGCCAAUUCGACGAGGGCAGCAAAGCCCCAGCGUCUCUCUGCCGACACAGGGAGCUGCAGAGCUUGGCCGAGCCCUCCAGGGCCACUGAGGCACGUGGCCUUUGGGCUGUACCUGCUCCUAGCCGGCCGCUCUAUGGGGCCCUGCCCUCGGGGUACCCCUCCAGCCAGAAGCUAACAGGGGCGGACCUGCUGGAAGAGCACUUGGUGGAGAUCCGCAGCCUGCGCCAGCGUCUCGAGGAGUCCAUCUGCGCCAAUGACCGGCUCCGGGAGCAGCUCGAAUGCCGCCUGGCCUCCACCAGCAAGGCCAGCGGGUUGCCCAGCGAUGUCUACACUCAGGGGCUGGAGCCAAGGCUGCAGCUGAGCGGGGAGAACCAGGCUCUGCGUGAGGACAACCGAACCCUGCAGCUCCAGUGUGACCACCUCUCCCAAGAGCUGGCACGCGUGCAGGAGGCGCUGCAGGCUGCCUGCUCCCGGGCACGGGAGGCUGAAGCAGAGCUGGGCCAGAGGCGUGGGGAGCAGCAGAGGCUGUCGGAGGAGCUUGCUGAGCGCCAAGAGACCAUCCGGCAGCUUCGGGAUGAGAGGUGCUCUCUGCAGGAAGACAACAACAGGCUGCAGCACACAGUGAUUCUCCUGCAGCAGCAGAGUGAGGAGUACCGCCUGCUCCUGCAGACCCUGCACACGGAGCUGCACAUCUACAAGAACCUCCCUGGUCCCUCCACCAAGACCCGUGCAGGCUGCUUCCCAUCUCCUCCGGUGCGGGAUGUUGGCAUGAACUCAGCAGCUCCCCUCUUCUCCCCAUUGCCCUCUGAUGUGUCGGUGGCCCAGCGGAUGGAUGAGCCAUGUGGGACAAACCCACCGUUGAGGAAGAGUGAGGGUAUGACAGGGGCUCAUGUUGUGGGCUGCCUGGACACCUACCAGGCCCUGGAACAGCACAUCCUGGAGGGGAAAGCGCUGGCCUAUGAGCUGAUGUGUCUCUCGCGCCCUGCACUCGGGCUCCCUGGCUGCCUUCUCCCAGGAAAGGAGGUAAAGCAUGGGCAGGACAGGGCUGGUGACAGCAGGGGGACAGCUCCUGCUCUGCGGACGAUGUGUAAAGCAUCUUCCGAGUCCGCCACCAGCCUCGAGCCUUGCAGGGCUGGCGUGUGGCAGUCAGCAUCCAGGCCCAGGACUGUUGCUGGCACUGCCCUGUCAUGUGAGGCUGGGCAUGGUGGUUCCCCAGAUGCAGGUGCUCCAGCAGCACCUGCUCCCGCACCCCUCUCCUGCAGGUCCUGGGGUGGACGGGCGUGGGGCACCUCUGGGGAAGUGCCAGCAACCUGCACCACGUCCUCGAGGAGUGCACGUCUCUCCUUGCUGCUUUCUGGAGCACUGUGCUGCCCAUCAGCCCUGCCAAAAACCAGGGCAAGGAGCAGGCACUGCAGGGCGAGAUCGCAGCACUGCGGGCCCAGCUCUCUGAGAGGGAGGAUGCUCUGCAGAGCACAGCCGAGCAGCUGCGCAGCACAGCCCGGCUCAAGGACAGCAUGGAGCACUUCAUUGUGAGCCAGCGUAUGUGGCCCGCGGGGAAUCCUGCUGCGGGGGUGACCAAGACCCACAACGUGCUGCGCAAGGCCAGAACAAACCUGGAGGUGACGGCCCAGCAGGCUCUGUCCGUUGCAUGAGCCCCAGGCAGGGCAGGGAGUGAUGCCUCCGGCUGCAGAACAAUCCACUGGCUGCAGAGCCAUGCCGUGCUGUGCCAUGCCAGAGGGGUGGAGCAGACCUUGCCUCUACUACUGCCAAGAGCUGGGGUGGAGAGGGGUCUAGGGUGUUCAGUGCUGCACAGUUAGUGGGUUUGGGCUUCCAUGUUGGCCCACCUUUGCUUGGCACUGCAAUAGCAGCUGGUGGCUUGGGCUUUGCCUGCUCCAUGUUUUGGCGCUCACUCCCCUCUGCUGAUGGUGCUUAGAGUGGGGCAUCACAGCCCUCCACACAGCACGCCUCUCGCCACAGGACUCUGUCCCAUUUGUAAUCCUGCUGCGUACCUGUCCUUGCUCAUGGAUGUAUGUAUAUGUAUAUGUAUAUAAAGGUAUCAGAGCUGCGUUUAGGGGGCUCCCCAGGCAUGUUGGAGCCCCAGCGCAGGAGGAAGAUGUAAGAAAUGCCAUGUUCUGUUCAGUGGCUGAAGAGCCCCC